GGGGGAAAAGCUAGCUGUGGAUAAACUGCGAUAUGUGACAUUGUCGAAGGUGUAACUGUUACCAUGUUAGCUACGCUUUUAAACAUUUUCAAAACUCUUCAAAUUCGGGGAAGACGUACUUGAGAACAUUACCUUGGGAUUAUUAAAGCAGCCAUCUUUUAUCAAAACAAAACGGCUCAAGUACAGUAAGUAAGCUAGAGAAACCGUUUCGUCUUGAACCAGACCAAAUUCGUUGGCUAGCUAGUCCUUCUCGAGAAGCGGGGUUCGCCGAGAGAAGAUGACUGGUGUGGUCUGCGUUGAUCAAGAACCUUCUCGCCAUCCAGACACCCUUGGACGGAUUUAAAAGCGGAUUUGUGUAGCUAAAUAUCCGUACUUUUGACAUCAAAUCAUCUGAGUACUAAACACACAGAUUAAAUCGCGUCUUCAACGAAGGAUUUUGAGGAGUUCUCUAACCCCCCCCACAGACUGUUGUUGUGAGAGGAGCAGAGACCAGCCAGACACUGACCGUCUCAUCACCAGAGUACCCGAAGCUCUCGCUUCACCCACAAAUAAACAAAGGAUACAUUUCAAGAUGUAUCCGCAGGGCCGACAUCCGGCACCUGGACAUGGUCAGCCGAGUCAGCCUGGGUUCAAGUUCACCGUAGCGGAGUCCUGCGACAGGAUCAAAGACGAGUUUCAGUUCCUGCAGGCCCAAUAUCACAGUCUUAAGGUGGAGUACGACAAGCUGUCCAAUGAGAAGACAGAGAUGCAGCGCCACUAUGUCAUGGU